CUGUGACGAGAGUGAGAGGGAGAGGGAGAGGGAGAGAGAGAGAAAGAGAGAGAGAGAGAGUGGCCACUUUAUUAGGAUCACAAUCGAAAUCGGGCUCAGUGGUGAUUAUAAAUAAUAAUUAUUAUUAUUAGAAUUAGUCAUACAGUGUUGUAAUUGAGUUUAGUCGCCAUUAAAAUGAAUGUAAAUGCCAUUCAUUAUUUCUGCCCCCCCCCCCAAAAAAAAUAAAAAAUUGUCAUGUCAGUCUAUAAUAUUUGUAUUGUAUAAAAACGUACAGUAAUGACAUAUUUCAUGAAGCAGUUUUGGACAAAUGUUUUGUUUCAGUUCAAUGGAUGUUGCGCUCAGGGGCGGAGCUAGACUUUAAGCGGGGCAUGGGGUGGCCAAGGCUAAUUCCUUUUUACCGUUUGAUGUUCUUUUUAUAUAAGUUUUCUUGACAAUUUUAAACUUAUGAGGUUCUAGUGUUUCAUAUUUCGUAUCUUUUGAUGAUCAAACUUUUUUUUUUAACAUUUUGUGCUUUUUACUGUUCUCGUUUUCUUGACAACUGUUAACUUUUGAGGUUCCAGUUUUUCAUAUUUUGUACAUUUUAAGGUUCUCGUGUUAGUCACAACCGUUUACGGUUCUAGUUUUUCAAAUUUUGUAAACCUUCAUGUGCUCGGGUUCUUGACAAUUGACUCCAAUUGACCAUUGGAGUUUCGAGCUCUUCCCAUUUUCAAGCCCUUUCUGAUGUUUGUUCCCAUUUUGAGCAGCCACACACACAACUGUUCUUGCAUGUUUAUCGUACUGCUGGUUUGAGGAGGAAUUCUCCCACCGUGACGCAUCCGGAAUGAAAUGAACGUGAUUUGAAGGAGCCGUGAGCGACCAUUCAUCUCCAAUGUUUACCUAAACGGCAUCAGCUUGGGUGGCGCUGCCUUUGUCCAUCUUGGCUGUUAUUUGACUUGCGUUUGAUGAAACAUGAAGAGAGUCGACUACAUCUGAAGCAAGGCUCCCCGGGGUCUUAUCAACUGGCUGACAGCUAUUUCGGUGGAAUUACGGCAGAGACGUCGCCAGAACGCAAACACACUUGGAAUGGCUGUUUCAUGUUGACUCGAUCGGGGUGAGGGAGACUCGAAAGUCUAAAUAUUUACUUUUGUGAUGAGUUUCAAGUCAAUUCCAUAGCCUUCUUCUCAUAAGAAUUUAGUGACAUUUUGUUGCCAUGUUAUUGAAAUAUUCAACUUUCAAGGCAAGAGUUCAAUUUUUACAUUUCCCAGAAAGUCUGAAUUUAGAGUAAACUGCCUUUGGUGUAGUACCACGUAGCGCCACAACACUCCUGGCAGCACUGAGCUCAAAUGGAGGAGCAACAUCAUUAACACAGCAAAUAUAGCAACAAAAAUUAACACACAAAAAUGCAUUCAUCAAGUAGGGGUCUCACCGAGCUGACCGGUAAAAAAAAUUCUUUUUAACAACCGCAAUGACUGACAGAUGCCUGGAGAUGGUGGCAUCACGUGACUUUGGAUUUGAGAUCAGAACAGAUUUUGAGUAGAAGAUCAAGAUUAGGUAGUGAAAUUUGACUUGACGUGCGAUUAUGAGAGAGAGAAAUGCCAAUACAUUGGAAGCCGGAUAAUUUUAGGCACCUCACACUCAAACAGAGUACGUUUAUGUAUGAUAUAAACAGAGUAUGUGUUGACGUGGAAAGUGUGUGACGUGAGUCAGUUUCAUUGUCGUAUGUCUGUAAAUAAAUGAUUUUGACGUCAAAAGCUUUCUC